rnacentral:rRNA from 1 species
GUGGGGAAUAUUGGACAAUGGGCGAAAGCCUGAUCCAGCCAUGCCGCGUGUGUGAAGAAGGUCUUCGGAUUGUAAAGCACUUUAAGUUGGGAGGAAGGGCAGUAAGUUAAUACCUUGCUGUUUUGACGUUACCGACAGAAUAAGCACCGGCUAACUUCGUGCCAGCAGCCGCGGUAAUACGACGGGUGCAAGCGUUAAUCGGAAUUACUGGGCGUAAAGCGCGCGUAGGUGGUUUUGUAAGUUAGAGGUGAAAUCCCCGGGCUCAACCUGGGAACUGCAUCAAAAACUGCAUGACUAGAGUACGGUAGAGGGUAGUGGAAUUUCCUGUGUAGCGGUGAAAUGCGUAGAUAUAGGAAGGAACACCAGUGGCGAAGGCGACUACCUGGACUGAUACUGACACUGAGGUGCGAAAGCGUGGGGAGCAAACAGGAUUAGAAACCCGUGUAGUCC